GUUCGCUUCGGCAGCACAUAUACUAAAACUGGAACGAAACAGACAAGAUUAGCAUGGCCCUGGCGCAAGGAUGACACGCAAAUUCAUGAAAAUAAAAAAAUAAGU